rnacentral:rRNA from 1 species
CAGCCGCCGCGGUAACACGUAGGGUGCGAGCGUUAAUCGGAAUUACUGGGCGUAAAGCGUGCGCAGGCGGUUCGUUAAGACAGAUGUGAAAUCCCCGGGCUUAACCUGGGAACUGCAUUUGUGACUGGCGAGCUAGAGUAUGGCAGAGGGGGGUAGAAUUCCACGUGUAGCAGUGAAAUGCGUAGAGAUGUGGAGGAAUACCGAUGGCGAAGGCAGCCCCCUGGGCCAAUACUGACGCUCAUGCACGAAAGCGUGGGGAGCAAACAGGAUUAGAGACCCGGGUAGUCCCUGUCUCUUAUAC